AUGGCGCAUGCAAGCAUUGAGCUACCCUCGGCGACUCCAGUCGCAAAGGCUUUCAUCCACCUCGAUGAGCCAAAAGCACACGCUCUUCUCGGCGAUGGCUUCGGGAAGGACAAGGCUACGGGGUGGUGCCUCGACACCGGCGCCACCCACCACAUGACCGGUCGAAGGGAAUUCUUCGCCGAGCUCGACUCCGAUGCGCGAGGCUCCGUCAAGUUCGGGGAUGCCUCCGCUGUGGAGAUAAAGGGCGUCGGCUCCGUCAUCUUCACCACCAAGAUGGGAGAGCAUCGGCUGCUCACCGGUGUCUACUACAUCCCCGCGCUAAGGAAUUCCAUCAUCAGCUUGGGACAGCUGGAUGAGAACGGCUCACGCGUGCUGAUUGAGCAUGGGGUCCUACGCAUCUGGGAUCGCCAGCGUCGCCUUCUCGCCAAGGUGCCCAGAGGUGAAAAUCGACUCUACGUCCUUGAUGUGCAGGUGGCACAACCGGUCUGUCUCGCUGUCCGUCGAGACGACGAGGCGUGGCAGUGGCAUGAGCGCUUUGGGCACCUUCACUUUGAGGCCCUGAAGCGUCUAAGUGCCAAGGAGAUGGUGCGAGGCCUGCCAUGCCUCGACCAUGUGGAGCAGUUCUGCGAGUUUUCGGGCUAA
rnacentral:rRNA from 1 species